rnacentral:lncRNA from 1 species
GGGACAAUUCAGUCCAACUAACAGUGACCUGUUUCACCAGACUGUAAACUUCUAAGGGCAAAAAUUAUUGUUAGCAGGAUGCCCAGCAGGUAAUAGCCUCUCAACAAACACUUUUAGAAUAAGUGAGGGACUGAAUGAAUGGACGAAUAAGUGAAUAAUAUGUGCUCAAUAUGGUGCCAAACACCAAAGUUUACCAAGACAAGGAGGCUCUGUGUCCUCACAAGCCAGUAGUGGAGGCCAUGUACACACACACCCAUAUUAUGUUGUACCAGCUAUUGUGAAUCUGUGUGCAAAGUCUUAUGGGAACACAAAUGAGGAACAAUAAACUGAGCAGCAUGCAGAGCAGGGAGGGAGGGAGAUGCCUAAAUACGCCAUCUUUUCAAGUCACACAUAAAAAUUUGAACUCAAAGAAAAACAUUUUAAUUUGGGGAUAAAUUAUUUAUAACACAAUUCUCAAAACACGGUUAAAAACCGGAGAACAGACCAUAUGCCAAACCGUGGUGAUGGGUGGGGAGAGAGGCUGCUCCUUAUUGCUGUGGGCCUGGCCAUCAGUUGUCAGGCCCCCUGGGCCAGUUCCUGUGAGCCCAGCCUUGUGACAGGGAGUUGCGCUCCCCUGGACCAGCCAUCCCAGAGUGGAAACAUGCUCUGUACCACCUCUCCCCCUUCCCUCCUCCUCAAUCGGAACUGCGAGACGUCUUCAAGAAUCAGCUUUGUUAGCCUAAACCUUCAGACUGAGGAUCACUCUGAACAGAAGAAAGGCCAGUCUAAACUUCCAGAGAGGACCAAGAUUAAGCGAGAACCCUGGACAACACUUGAACAAAGCUGGCGUAGGUCUUUGGCCCCAGGCUUUCUUAGGCCAGUCAGGGGUCUGCUCCAUGGGGGAAGAAAGAAUGUCUAAAAUUGAUAGUAAGAGAGGGGUCACUUCAGAGGAGUUGAACCAGGGACAAGCUCAUCUUUUAACAUGCAAUGCUUCCACCCAUUACACCCACCACCACGUUUGCCAAGGAAGUAUCACCAAAUGUGACGGAUGACAGUAACACCUCAUUGAAGGUGAAGUUCUUUAUACCCCACGCCCAAUCCAAGGACAGCAAAGAAAAGAAGGGAAGCCCUUGAGUUCUUUCUCCUAGAAGCCAAGGAUCCAGUCCUCCUUCCAGCUCACCCCACCAAGCCCCACCACGUUGCCUCAG